rnacentral:tRNA from 1 species
GACCAGGUAGCUCAGUUGGUAGAGCUCCUUGGUAUAUGUCAGGUGGUCCCAGGUUCAAUCCCUGGUCUGCUUA